UGUGUUGCUUCCACCCCACUUCUUUCAAUCUCUCCCAGUCUCUGCCUGCUGCCUUUGAAAGAAGUCGUGAUGCUGCAUCAACUCUCUUACAAUCAUGAGAAUGACAAGCUGCCCUAUCACAGUUGGCUUAGCAGAAGAAGGGAAAGAGUCUGGACCUUGUUGUUGAGAUACUUGAACAGCUGAACCAGUUCCAAGAUGCCCACCUACAGACUCUAUUCAUGCCUUGGGCAACUGCAUUGCAAAAUUUGACCUCACCAUGUCUAAAAACUGGACUCAGAUCUUUCUAGAGUACUGAACUUUUAUCUCUCAUCAUGGGAAACUCACCAGCUCUAAGAAAAUCAGAACAGUUGAUCAUCCUACUCCACAUAUAAGAGGAGUUUUAAAGAUCCAGUUGAAAGUAUUUGAUAAAGAAAAGGAAUCAUCAAAUUGGGAA